rnacentral:rRNA from 1 species
AACGUACGCUGGCGGCACGCCUAACACAUGCAAGUCGAACGAAGUAGCAAUACUUAGUGGCAGACGGGUGAGUAACAUGUAGGUAUCUGCCCUUUGGCCUGGAAUAACACGAGGAAACUUGUGCUAAUACCGGAUAAGUCUUUACGGAGAAAGCUUUAUGCACCAUUGGAUGAGCCUGCACUUGAUUAGUUUGUUGGUGGGGUAAUGGCCUACCAAGACUGUGAUCAAUAGCUGAUUUGAGAGGAUGAUCAGCCACAUUGGGACUGAGACACGGCCCAAACUCCUACGGGAGGCAGCAGUGGGGAAUCUUGCACAAUGGAGGAAACUCUGAUGCAGCGAUGCCGCGUGAGUGAAGAAGGCCCUUGGGUUGUAAAGCUCUUUCGUCGGGGAAGAAAAUGACUGUACCCGAAUAAGAAGGUCCGGCUAACUUCGUGCCAGCAGCCGCGGUAAUACGAAGGGACCUAGCGUAGUUCGGAAUUACUGGGCUUAAAGAGUUCGUAGGUGGUUGAAAAAGUUAGUGGUGAAAUCCCAGAGCUUAACUCUGGAACUGCCAUUAAAACUUUUCAGCUAGAGUAUGAUAGAGGAAAGCAGAAUUUCUAGUGUAGAGGUGAAAUUCGUAGAUAUUAGAAAGAACACCAAUUGCGAAGGCAGCUUUCUGGAUCAUUACUGACACUGAGAAACGAA